rnacentral:rRNA from 1 species
UUCGUGUGAACAGUGGUUGAUCACGAGUUAGUCGGUCCUAAGUUCAAGGCGAAAGCCGAAAAUUUUCAAGUAAUAAUAUUUAAUCAUGAUAAUAUAUAAUAUAUAUUUGUUUGGCUAUAUUUUAUACACUUGAAUAAUUUUGAACGAAAGGGAAUACGGUUCCAAUUCCGUAACCUGUUGAGUAUCCGUUUGUUAUUAAAUAUGGGCCUCGUGCUCAUCCUGGUAACAGGAACGACCAUAAAGAAGCCGUCGAGAGAUAUCGGAAGAGUUUUCUUUUCUGUUUUAUAGCCGUACUACCAUGGAAGUCUUUCGCAGAGAGAUAUGGUAGAUGGGCUAGAAGAGCAUGACAUAUACUGUUGUGUCGAUAUUUUCUCCUCGGACCUUGAAAAUUUAUGGUGGGGAUACGCAAACUUCUCAACAGGCCGUACCAAUAUCCGCAGCUGGUCUCCAAGGUGAAGAGUCUCUAGUCGAUAAAAUA